rnacentral:rRNA from 1 species
GACGAACGCUGGCGGCGUGCUUAACACAUGCAAGUCGAACGGAAAGGCCCUGCUUUUGUGGGGUGCUCGAGUGGCGAACGGGUGAGUAACACGUGAGUAACCUGCCCGUGACUUUGGGAUAACUUCAGGAAACUGGGGCUAAUACCGGAUAGGAGCUCCUGCUGCAUGGUGUGGGUUGGAAAGUUUCGGCGGUUGGGGAUGGACUCGCGGCUUAUCAGCUUGUUGGUGGGGUAGUGGCUUACCAAGGCUUUGACGGGUAGCCGGCCUGAGAGGGUGACCGGCCACAUUGGGACUGAGAUACGGCCCAGACUCCUACGGGAGGCAGCAGUGGGGAAUAUUGCACAAUGGGCGGAAGCCUGAUGCAGCAACGCCGCGUGCGGGAUGACGGCCUUCGGGUUGUAAACCGCUUUCGCCUGUGACGAAGCGUGAGUGACGGUAAUGGGUAAAGAAGCACCGGCUAACUACGUG